GUAUCUGUCGUAUGUCACGCAAUGCUGCCCUCUACAGUCGCUCUCAAGAACUGACACUUCUGACAGAGUGUAUUAUGUUACUUGUUGCAAAUGCUUGAUACAUUUAUAGUGUUUUCGCUGAGCAUAUGUGACUGCGUUGUUCGUUACUGGACAAGAAUGUUUUUUUUCUUUACGGUUUUCUUUAUUAGGGUGAACAACAUAUUUAAAAAUACAUAGUUUAAAGAGUAACAUUAAAACGGCGUACUCUUGAGGCCUCUAGAGGGCAUCAUCUGUCAAUUCCUCUCUGCACGUGCGACAGGUGCAGAGAGGAAUACUUUCACCGAAGAAAGUGAACGUGUUGACAAACCACUCGCUGUUUACGUGGUAUAAUAACUUAACACUCUUUAACGUAACUGCAGUAUCCUCCGUCGAUGAUGAUAUUCAUUUAAAAUCAUUUAUUAAAAUUACACACUUGAUGCUCAUAAAAGUUUGAGGGAAAAGAAUCGUCGCCGCUUUUAAGUAGGCUGUAUGCUUUUCUUUUCUUUUCUUUUCUUUUCUUUUCUUUUCUUUUCUUUUCUUUUCUUUUCUUUUCCACAAAAUCCAUCCGACCUUUGUUGUCUUCCUCAGCAGUAACUCAAGGGAUCUUUAAUCUCAGUCUUUUAUUAGUUUUCUGAUCCUUUAACUGGCCUUCACGAGUGGUCAAAGUAUCGGUCUCUAGCCCUAAUUUCACCUCUCUGGCCUCCGAUUAUUUUUCACUCAAUCAUUGUUCCUCCGUGGAGCAUGCGGAGGCGCGUCCUGUAACGCAAAGCGCAAGCGCGUUUCAAUUGCCACGGGCCAGUGACGCACGGACGCACAGCUGCCCCGAGGCACCGCGAGUGCGUUAGCGGCACACUGUGUGCCAAGUGUCCCACCCGACACAGUCUGCUGCGGGACAUGGGGCAAACACUGCGAACGAGCGCACACCGGGCUCGACUCUACCAAGGAAGGCGGUGGAAGAUGGCAUUAUCCACACCGAACGUCUUUGCAGUGCACUGAUGCCGUCAGAAAAGAAAGGAAAACAGGCAUGCAGCCAAAGCUGAGUCUCUCCAAAACUGCUUAGCCCAACAGUCCCACUUACUCC
ensembl:lncRNA